rnacentral:rRNA from 1 species
UGGGGAAUAUUGCGCAAUGGUCGAAAGACUGACGCAGCGACGCCGCGUGUGGGAGGAAGCCCUUCGGGGUGUAAACCACUGUCAGGGGGGAAGAACUCUGGUUGCGAAAACAUCGUAGCCAGCUGACGGUACCCCCAGAGGAAGCGCCGGCUAACUCCGUGCCAGCAGCCGCGGUAAGACGGAGGGCGCAAGCGUUGUUCGGAAUUACUGGGCGUAAAGCGCAGGCAGGCGGUCGGUUAAGUCUUCUGUGAAACUCCGGAGCUCAACUCCGGACUUGCAGAAGAUACUGGCAGACUAGAGAGUGGUAGAGGCAAGCGGAAUUCCUGGUGUAGCGGUGGAAUGCGUAGAUAUCAGGAAGAACACCUGUGGCGAAGGCGGCUUGCUGGGCCAUCUCUGACGCUCAUCUGCGAAAGCGUGGGGAGCAAACAGGAUUAGAUACCCCCGUAGUCC